rnacentral:lncRNA from 1 species
AAAAUUUUUAAAACAUAGAAAACAGCCGCUUUUUCCUCUUUUCCAUCACUGUGCGUGAGAGAACCAUGGAAGAACUGCCGCCUUCUUCCUCAACAAUCGACCACCACCCGCCACCUAGACCACCGGAUCCCACUACCAUUCGAACCCCCUCACCUUCCUCUUCAACCUCUUGUCGUCACCUAACUGUUAUUCCUCUUCCAUUGUUUCUUACUUUCAGAAAUCAAAAGAAUUCUCCAUGGAAGCAAGCCGUUUUAAGCGUUCAUCAUAGCGAGAAGAGGAGGUGGUAAUUUCUCUUGUUUAAAUCUUCUCUUUGUAUGUCAUGAUGUAACUUAUUUGUUGAAUUAUUAUCAUCUUUGCCUUCUACUGCCAAAACCCUCGAGGUUAAAACCGUUCUUCAUUAAUCCUUUUUUUUUUUUCAUUUUUCAAGGGGAAAUUUAAAAAUGACUGUUGAUUCUCGUGAAAUCUUCAAUUUUACAUUUAUGGGAAACUUCAAAGAAAACUUAAUCUAUUUAGAAAUUAGGCGUGGCUGGUUUCAUGAAUCAAGUAGAUGAUGAUUAAAAUUUUACAUUAAUUUAGAAGUUAAAAAAUUAUUGGAAAGAUGUUAGGUCUUCAUUUUACAUUAAAAAAAAAAAAGGAAUCCCAUGUUAUUUUCGUGAAUUAAUAGUGAAUCCAUUUAAAUCUGGACAGAAUGAUGAAUGGAAGAUUACAAAAAUUUCUCCACAUUCUUCUUUGUAUGCUGAUUGUGAUAAGAACAUAAGGAUUUUUGGUUGAUAUUACUUAUGUUCAAAGUGUUGUGGCAAAAGGAGCAGGUAAAACAUUAAGGGUCAACAUUUAGAACAAAAUAUUUUUCUGCUUUGUGCUCGCAGUUUGUUUAGACGGUAGUAG